rnacentral:lncRNA from 1 species
GGGCAUGCAAAUCCAAUGAAAAGAAACAUAAACUACAUAGCCAAAGCUAAAACGAAAGCCUCCACGAACAAUGCGAUUGCUCACCUUAGCAAUAGAAUCCUUACGAAGGAACCUGUCACCCACUAGUUUCACCUUGCGCGGUAUCAUCUGCAGACUGUAAGUAAGGAGUGAGCUAUAUAUAAAUAUAACUCAGUAAGAUCAUUGGCUCGCUACUUUAAGUACCCCUGGAACAAGUAUUAGAAAAUACAACAACACCAAGAACAUAAAAUUAUUACACACAGGAACUAUAGCAUAAUAAGGUGACCAACGAGGCCCAACAAUCCUUCAUCAAGAACCAUAUACCUCAAACAAAGCACUUAUCAUAAUUUGUAAUUAAAGUAAUUAACCAACACUAGGAGUAUCGGGCAACAUAUACAAUGCGCCAAAUAUAUCAGGAGUAUACACAAUACGCAUACACAAUACACAGGGAAGCAUACACAAUGUCUCAUAUCAAAUCAACAAGCAUACACAAUGCUCAAAGGAAGCAUACGCAAUGCCCCAAUCUCACAGUACACAAUCAUAUCAUAUCAGGGAAUAAUUUAUAACGGGAGAAUUAGUAUUCUUAAACAUAAAGUAUAUAUGUCUAGGCUUGAAGUCCACCGAUUCUGCCAACCACACACUCGUCCCAACAUAUGGACCGGGAGGAAAAAAACACACUUUUUAAAAUAAAUUUGAAAAGCAAACACCCAAAGCUUAAAGUCUCACUUACCUCGCUAAUGACAAGUUCUCCAACCUAGUAAUGCGUGAAACACCAACCAAAUAGCCUCCAAUGGCUUCAAUCUAUGUAAAAAUAUUAAUAAACGAUAUCAAUUAUACUAGUCAGAGUCAAAUGACAAUAUCCGCAACUUUCAGUCCUAUUUCUACUCCUUAAUAUCUCACACCUUAACCAUGAAUUGAAAAGGUAAAAAUAUCCCAACCCACAAUCCAAACGUAGCACUUUCAAAGACGGUGAAUUGCUCUAACAGAUACAUCAAUAUCUGAUCCUCUUAUCGAUAGAUCGAGUCACUACUAUAGCCAUACACGUCUCUCAUCAUUAGUCAGUUAUCGUGAAAUCAAAAAGUUUAUUUCUCUUUUUGUUAGAAGUAGUAGCAAUCAAAGUUACAAUAUGAAUCAAUAGGAAAAAACUGAAUAGUUGCUUCACGGUGGUGCUAAGCUUCAAUAUUUUUUUGUUUGUCUAACUCCACUAACAAUUAAUCAUUGAUCAAUAAUUUAGUACUUCAACCAUCAUCCUACUCUUAAAGCUUUAUCCUAUACGACAACUCCAAUUCAAGCGGAAAAAUAUGAAGAAUGGAAAAAGUUGAUACCUGGUACUAGUCUUCUGAAAAUUCUCAAUUUAGUAAACAACCUUUUUGCAUUCAAUUUCCCAAGUGUCUAAGCUACAGAGAAAAACUAGGUAACAC